ensembl:lncRNA
UGUACCUUUACAUGAUGCAUCUUGGUUCUUAUUUUUUCCCCAUUCCUAGCCCUCCCUUCACCCCCUCCACCCUUCCCUAUUUACAAAGACUUUAUUUCCAGUUUUUCCAUUUCUCAUCAUUUUUCCUUUCCCUUCUUUCCUUUCCCCUGCCCCUCCCACUGACCCUACGCAUUUGGACCUUUUCUUCCUAUUUUGCAUUAUCGAUUAUUCAUUCUAAUCAUUGGUAUAUUUUAGGUAUACAAUAUAAUGACAUUCAUCAUUGGAAAUUUGCAACUUUACAUAGUCUCUCUUGGUUCUUAUUUUUCACCCUUGCACAGCCCUCCCUUCAACCCCUCCAGUCCUCCCUAUUUACAAAGACUUUGUUCCCAUUUUUCCAUUUUCUCAUAUUAAUCCCAUUCCCUUCCAUCCUUUCCCCUAGCCCUCCCACUUCCUUUCCCUUUGCCCCUUUUCUUCCCAUUUCACAUUACCUAUUAUACAUUUUAGUCCUUAAUUACACUUUCAGUUUCUCACACCAGAGAAACUAUUCAGUAUUUAUUCAUGUGUGUCCUAUUUAUUUCACUUAAGAGUAUCACCUCAAUGUGCACCCACUUAGCUAUAAAUGUCUCUAAUUUCUCAUUUUUUAUGGCUGAGUAGUACUCUAUUUUACUAAAAAACCACAUUUUCUUUAUCCAAUCUCCAGUUGAUGGGCAUUUGGACUGCUUCCAAGUUUUAACUCUCACAAACUGUGCUGCUAUGAACAUGGGUGCACAUAGAUCAUUGUGGUAUGAUUCUUUUAAUUCUUUGGGGAAGAUCCCAAGCAGUGGAAUAGCGGGGUCAAAUGGGACUUCCAGUCCUAGAUCUUUGAGGUAUCUCCAUACUGAUUUCCACAGUGGUUGCACCAGUCUACACUCUCACCAGCAGUGGAGCAGGGUUCCUCUUUCCCCAUUUGUUAUUGGUUGAUUUCAUGAUAGCAGCCAUUCUUUCUGGAGUGAGGUGGAAUCUCAGUGUUGUUCUCAUUUGCAUCUCUUGAAUGACCAGUGAUGUUGAACAUUUUUUCAUGUAUUUAUUUGCUAUUUCUACUUCUUUGUCUGAGAAAUGUCUGUUCAUUUCAGAUGCCCACUUUCAGGUUGGGUCUUGAAAUUUGGGUGGACAAAUUUUUUUAAGUACUUUAUAGAUUCUAGAUAGUAGACCUUUGUCUGAGGAAAAGUAGGUGAAAUUUCGUUUUUUCCCACAUUCUGAAUUGUCUCUUCACAUUGUUGUUGGUCUCUCUUGCUGUGCAGAAGCUUUUUAGUAAGAAGAGAUCCCACUUGUUGAUUGUUUGUAUUAGUUCAUAGACCACUGAGGUUUUGUUUAUAAAAUCUUUUCCUAUACCAAUGGCUUCAAGAGAUCUACUGAACCUCUGUUCUAGCCAGUUCAGCAUUUCUCUUUUAAUAUUUAGAUCUUUAAUCCAGUUUGAUUUUAGUUUAGUGCAUGGUGAGAGAUAUAGGUCUAGUUUUAAUCUUUGGCAAGUUGAAAUCCAUUUUUUCCAGCACCAUUUAUUAAAGAGGCUAUAUUUCCUCCAGUGAGGGUGUUUGGCUCCUUUAUCAAAGAUGAGAUGGCUGAGUGUGUCUGGCGUUGUUUCUGCAUCUUCUAAUCUGUUCCACUGGGUCUCAUGUCUGUUUCUUUGCCAGUACCAUGCUGUUUUUAUCAUAGUAGCUUUGUAGUAUAGUUGCAGAUUGGGGAUUGUGAUACUCCCUGCCAUGUCUCUGUUACCUCAAAUUGCUUUUGCUAUUCUGGGUCUCUUCUUGAUCCAAAUGAACUUUUGGAUUGUUUUCUCAAGGUCCAUGAAGUAUGCUGCUGGGAUCUCAAUUGGAUUUGCAUUAAAUCUAUAUAGCAGUUUUGGAAGUAUGGCCAUUUUCACUAUAUUAAUCCUUCCUAGCCAGGAGCAGGGGAUGUCUGUCCAUUUUCUGAUAUCAUCUACAAUCUCUCUUUUCAGAGUGCUAUAGUUUUCAGUGAAGAGGUCUUUGAUUUCUUUUAUUAGGUUUAUUCCUAGGUAUUUCAGUUUUUUGGAUGCUAUUGUGACAGGAAUUAUUUGGCCUAUUUCUCUCUCAGUGAGUCUGUGAUUGGUGUAGAGGAAAGCUAUUGAUUUUUGUGUGUUGACCUUGUAACCAGCUACUUGACUGAAUUUGGUUAUUAAGUCUAGAAGACUUUUGGUGGAGUUCUUGGGGUCUUCUAUAUAGAGUAUCAUGUCAUCUGCAAAUAAUGACAAUUUGACUUCUUCAUUACCUAUCAUUAUUCCUUUUAUUUCUUUCUCUUGUCUAAUUGCCAUGGCUAGUGUUUCCAGACCUAUAUUGAACAAGAGUGGUGAUAGUGGACAUCCUUGUCUUGUUACUGAUUUUAGUGUGAAGGAUUUCAGUUUUUGACCAUUUAGUAUGAUAUUGGCUGUUGGUUUUUGAUAGAUGACUUCUAUCAGUUUGAGGUAGAGACCAUCUAUUCCAAUUUUUUGUAGGGUUUUUGUCAUAAAUGCAUGUUGGAUUUUGUCAAAUGCUUUUUCUGCAUCUAUGGAGAUAAUCAUAUGGUUUUUGUCCUUGGCUCUAUUGAUAUAAUGUAUUACAUUGAUUGAUUUUCGUAUAUUGAACCAUCCCUGCAUCCCUGGGAUGAAUCCCACUUGAUCAGGGUGUACGAUCUGCUUAAUGAUCUUCUGCAUUCUGUUUGCCAGUAUCUUAUUAAGGAUUUUUGCAUCUAUGUUGAUUAAUGAGAUUGGCCUAUAGUUCUCCUUUUUGGUUGGGUCUUUCUCUGCUUUGGUGAUCAAGGUGAUGCUUGCUUCCAGGAAUGAAUUUGGGAGUAUUGCUUCCCUUUCAAUUUCAAUGAAGAGUUUAAGCAGUAGUGACAGCAUGUCCUCUCUAAAUGUCUUGUAGAAUUCAGCAAUGAAGCCAUCAGGGCCAGGGCUUUUCUUAGUUGAUAAGUUUUUAAUUACGUUUUCAAUUUCAUUGGUUGACAUUGGGUUGUUUAGAAUUUUUAGGUCUUCCUCAUUCAACUUUGGAAUUUAUAUGUAUCUAGGAAUCUGUCCAUUCCUUCUGUGUUUUCUAUCUUAUUGGCGUAUAGGUUCUGGAAGUAGGUAUUGAUGAUCCUCUGGAUUUUUGCUGGGUCUGUUGUGAUUUCACCCUUUUCAUUUCUAAUUGCAUGGAUUUGGGCCUUUUCUUUCCUUUUUCUGAUAAGCUUGGCUAAGGGUUUGUCAAUUUUGUUGAUUCUUUCGAAGAACCAACUCUUGGCUUCAUUGAUUUUUGGUAUCAUUCUCUUGCUCUUCAUUGCAUUGAUUUCUCCUCUGAUCUUUAUAAUUUCCUUCCUUGUAUGAGCUUUGGGUUCAUCCUGUUAUUCUUUUUCUAGUAGCUUGAGGUUGAGCAUCAGGUUGUUUAGCUGAGUUCACUCUGUUUUCUAAUAUGCAUAUUCACUGCUAUGAAUUUCCCUCUUAGACUGCUUUCCUUGUGUCCCAUAGAUUCUGAUAUGUUGUAUUGUCAUUGUCAUUUAAUUGAAGGAACUGUCUGAUUUCUUCUUUAAUUUCCUCUGUGACCCAUUAGUUAUUCAGAAGUGUGCUGCUCAAUUUCCACGUGUUUAUGAAAUUUUUUGAGUUUCUUUUGCUAUGGAUCUCCAAUUUCAUCACACUAUGGUUUGAUAAUAUACAGGGGAUAACUUCAGUCCCUUUGCACUUACUUAAACAUGUUCUAUGUGUGAGUAUGUGGUCUAUUUUGGAGAAUGAACCAUGUGCAGCUGAAAAGAAUGUGUAUUCUGAUUUUGUGGGAUGGAAGACUCUGUAAACAUCUGUUAAGUUCAUUUGUUCAAGAGUUCAAUUGAGUGCUAGUAUUUCAUUACUUAUUUUUAGUCUAGUUGAUCUCUCUAUUUGUGACAGUGGGGUGUUGAGGUCCCCCACUACAAUUGUAUUAGUGCAUAUAUGACUUUUCAUGUCUGUUAGUAUUUGUUUUAUAUAGUUAAGCACACUAGUGUUUGGUGCAUAGAUAUUUAUGAUUGUCAUCUCUUCCUCUUAGAUUGUUCCCUUUUCAAGGAUGUAGUGUCCUUCUUCAUCUCUCUCAAUCAGGUUGGUUUGAAAUCUGCUUGAUCUGCAAAGAGGAUAGUUACUCCUGUUUUUUUUCGAGUUCCCGUCACAUGGAGUAUUGUUUUCCACCCUUUAACUUUCAGCCUAUGAGUUUCCUUUUGAAUUAAGUGUGUUUCUUGUAUGCAGCAUAUUGUUGGAUUUUGCUUCUUGACCCAUUUUGUCAGUCUGUUUCUUUUGAUUGGUGAAUUGAGAUCAUUAACGUUGAUGGUUAUAACUGAAACAUAUUGACUUGUCAUUGCCAUGACUUUUUCUUUUUGUUAGGUUCUCCCUCUUUACAUUUAAUUUCUUAUUGUGCCAGAUGUGUUCAUUCUGCUUUGCUCCUGGGGUUGUGAUCCUCAAUGUCUAUUCCUAGGAUAUUGUGUCAAAAUUUUGGAGUGCUGGUUUGGUAUUCACGAAGUUCCUAAGGUGCUCUUUGUCAUGAAAGUAUCUUAUUUCUCAAUCAAGUUUGAAAGAUAGUUUUGCAGGGUACAUCAAUCUGGGUUGGACGCUGUUUUCCUUUAGAGCUUGGAAUAUGUCACUCUAAGCUCUUCUUGACCUGAUGGUUUGUGUUGACAAGUCUGCUGUGAUUCUAAUGGGCUUUCCUUUGUAUGUGAUUUGUUUCUUUUCUCUACCUGCUUGGAGAACUUUGUUCUUCUGUUGAGUUUCUGGUAUCUUAACAAUUACAUGCCUAUGUGUAGAAUUUAUUUUGAUCAAGGCUAUUUGGAGCCCUAUAUGCCUCACUUAUCUGUAUGUCAAGUUCUUUUCCCCUUCUUGGGAAGUUUUCUGCCAUUAUUUCUGUGAAGAGCUUUUUUAUUUCAUCUGCACUCUCUCCUGUUUCUUCAUUGACUCCAAUCAGUCUUAUGUUAUUCUUCUUUUCAUUGUCUAUCAGCUGCUGGAUUGAUUUCUCAUGUUCCCUUAUAAUUUUGAAACAAUUUUUCUUUUCCUAGUCAUUCAUUGCAAUCUUAUCUUCUGUAUCUGAAAUUCUGUCCUCACAUUGGCUCAUUCUGCUGUGUAGACAUUCAAUGGAGUUUUUCAUCUUCUGGAAAUCUAUUUACAUCUGUUUUAUGGACUGCAUUUGUUUCCUAUGUUGGGAUUCCAUCAUGUUCCUCAGCUCCUCUCUAGAUUUAUUAAUCAUGUCUUGCACUAGGAGCACAAUUUCUCCUGUUAUCUGAGAAAUUAUUUCUGAUUUCAUUUUUUCCAGAUUCCCUUUUGUUGCCAGUUCAGUGGGUCCAGGUGGUUGAUUAUUGGAGUAUUCCAUCUCAUUUCCCUUUGGGGUUGCUGUAGGUGACCUGUAAGUCUGGUUUUGAGACUUAUUUAUGUGUUUUCUCCUUUCAAUUGCGGGGGGGGUGCUCUCAGCACCGCGGGGCUCACUUCCACUGAGCUGGGAGAGGUGGGCCAGGGGCCAGGAGUGGUAGUAGGGAUGGUGGACCAGAAGCCCCUUCCUCUGGGCUGGGAGUGGUGGGAUGGAUGGUAGCCAGGAAGCCCCUUCUUCUGGGCUGGGAGUGCAGGACAGAAGGCAGCCCAAAAGCCCUUUUCUCUGGGCUGGGCUAGGUAUCUUAAUUUUUAAAAAAUCCCUAUCACUUCCUUUAGUAAUAACCAUGAAAAUUUAAUGGAUAUAGUUACCUUUAAGACUACAUAAAUCAUUAUCUUUUUUUCUUUUGUAUAACAGAUUUUUGUUCCAUAUGUAUGUUAUGUUUCCUUUCUCUGUUACAUAUUUUUAUUAUUUCAUAGAGACAUUUUUGGUUUGAUCCAUGGGCUUAUCAUUUUUUUUUCUCAGCAUUUCUUCACUCAACAUUUCUUCUUCCCUCCUCAGCUUCCCUUCUGGAGUUAUUUUUCACCUUGCAGAGGCAAUAUCAAGUUUAGUAUAAAUCUGUUGGUAGUAAAUUCAUUUACUUUUAGAUUGUUACGUCCUCAAAAGUGUUAUUUAUUUAAUGACAGGCACCUGCUUGAAGUGUGCCAUAUAAAAGACAUCAUUUGAUUUCUACAAUAAUCAUAUGAGAAGCAUUGUUGGUCUCUUUUUCACAGAGACAUAUUGCUCCAGAUUACAUAGCAGAAAAAAAAAAAGCAGAGAUUAAAUACAAUCUCUCCGAAGCCAAAACCCAGUUCUUAAUCAUUAUACAUACUACUUCUAAUUGUUCAUCUAGUGAUAUUGUAUAUGUAUAAUAUAAAAAUAUCUGUUAUUUAACAUUGUCUUACAAGGAAUGAAUUUUGUUUCUGUACAAUAUGGGAAACUGCUAAUAUUCAUGAUCUUUUCAUUAAAUACAUUAUAAAAAUUUAUCAAAUGGAUGUAUAAAGUAGUAAAUAUAAAACAAACAUGAAUCCAUGAUACUGUUUAGAUGUACCACUUGUAACCUUAAAAAAAAGCCAUGACUCUUUUCUGAAGUAGAGAAGUAAGGACCUAAAGCCCCUGAAGUGUCUUCCUUUAUAAAAGAAAUGGAAUUUGACAUGUUUUAAGAAAAACUUAAUUUGUGGUAAUAAAAGGGACUCAUUAACUCAUGGCUAUGUUUAUAACAUAGCUGUAAUUUUUCAAAAACUAUGAGGUGAGUUUCUAAGGUAGUUUGUAAAUAUAUUGGUUGAUUUCCUUUCAGCUGUUUUUUGAAUUUUCAGAGCAAUCCAAAUCGUUAGUUAAUUCUAACCUACUAACUAAUCAGAUGACUAUAACACACAAAUUCAGGCUAUCACCACACAUUUUCAAAAGCAAGGUGAAUGAACAAAAUAUUGGAAAAUAAAAACAGGAAAAUAAAAAUACUCGGACGUUAUUUUGCGGCAGCUUCAUAUGAGAAAAUAGAUUAGUGAUGAUACCUUAAAUGUACGUAGUAGAGUUUUUAAUGUUGCAGGGUAUACGAUUUGGGGAAUUCAGCUGAAAAUGUAUGUGUAAGCCAGCUUUCAGAGAAACUUUCCUUCCCUGUAUUGAUGAAUUACAAGCUGUUAUAUCUUCAUAUGGCCACUUGAGGGAACUCUUUCAUUUUGUUUUCAGUAAUCCUCAACCAGUGACAAAUUUAAGUUUCUGGCAAGGCAUAAAGAAAUAUUUUUUUAAAGUAAAAUUUAAAAGAAUUCAUUAUCUUGUAUAUUUAAUAUACCAUACAGUAUAAUUAUUUACAGGAUGUUAGCAAAUGAAUGUAUAGAAAAAUAGAAUAAAAUUCUACUUAAUCUUGAAAGUAUUCUUGUUCUCAUCCUCUCUCAAGCAAUUUUUAUAGGAAAUGAAAAUUGUUAUUCUAAAUAUCUGACUUGUCACAUUUAUGUUAGUGUUCUUUAUAAUCAAAUUUAAUCUAUUAAUAAGAUGUUUUAAAAAUUAAUAGUUUAUGCAUAUGUCGUGAGGAAAUUUUGCUAGAAACAUUCUGUGAUCUGUAGAGUCAGAGUGCAAGAAGGAGCUGUGGACAGGUCCUAGCAAUUAUCUCAGUUGGUGAAGAUAUUUUGGGAAAGAGAGUUUGAUUGGGAAGUUAAAUUUCCAGUAAAAUCAUGUAGGAAUGUUAAAGAUAACUAUGAGUUAAGGGAAGGGAGACAAUCAUACACUUCCAUUGAACGCACUGAUAGUACAGAUCAUCAAAGGGACAAUGGAUUAGGUAUCAAUCACCCAUCUGUGACUUUCUUAUUUGCACUUCUGAAUUUUUGGACAAAAUAGGAAUAAUAGUGUCUAUGAGGCAAACAUAAGUAAAAGUCUAUAAUAAUACAUUAGUAAACUCUAAAAGUGUCACGUAAAUAACACUUUUGGAAUUAUUACAUUGAUGCAGAGAAAGCCUGCAAAAACCACAUCAAACAUACCAGAGAGAAGGCCAUCUUUAGCCAUCUUUAAUAAUUCUGUGUCAUAUGAUCUUUUCUAUUUAGAGUGCUCUGUUAAGCUUGGCUCCUGGUUGCAGGAGUAGCAAAUAAGUAAGUCUCUUUUUGUUUAUCAUUUCUUUUAAUUGAUCUGUGACACUUCAAUGAUGUGUAUACCUAUGCUCAUGAUUACCAAAUCCUUUCUUCAGUCCCAACUUGCUACAUGAUGUACACUAACCUAUUAGAUAAUUUAUCAGUAAUCCAGUCACCUUCUGUCAUUGCGUCCUACAUCGAACUCACUAUGUUUGUUCUACAAAACAUGCGUUUACUUGAGUGAUCAUUUUUUUUCAAACGGGUGACCUUGAUUAACAUGUCCUGUUCUUCCCAGUACUAUCCUACAAUAGUAGUAACCAAAUAACCAUAGAAUGAUGAAAAUUUCUGAAACUCAAGAUAAAACAUGGACCUAAUGUUGAUAAUGUUAAACAUUACCUUGAAUGGUUUGACUCUAUUAGAUAUUGAUUGAUAUAAUAUUAUUUCCCUUUUCAUAAUGCUAUCUAUUUCUAAUAUACACAUGUAUUGAAGAUGUGACUUUAGACAGUUCAGAAUUCCCAAGAUUGUAUUAAUGAUAAAAAUUCAAUUACCUGUUUUUUAGGGAUAAGUUUUCAAGUAUAAUUAAUGCUUUUCUGAUAUGUAGCCUUUCCAUUCUUGAAUUAUUUGGCUGAAGGAAUUUGCUUUAACUCAAAAACUGUAAAAGAGCAUCUAUAUUAUUCCGAACUCUAAGAAAAGCUAUCAUAAAAAUAUACCCAUUUUACAAAAAUUACAACUGAUUUCUGCAGGCCUUCAAUAUAUCAUUAUCUCUUUAAUUCAUAGGUGAAAAAUAAUACACAAAUGUGCCCAUUAUUACUUUCAUGUGGCCUGGGAAAGAGACCCAAUAUAUACAAUAGCAUCAUUUGUAUUUUCAUAUAAUUUAUGUUACUUCAGAUUGUGACAAAGAAAUCUGAAAGGGAAGGUGACAGAGCAGAGGCUGAUGUUUUUUAAUAUGUUCUCCAGAAAGCACUUUCUAAGGAGAGACUUUUUGCAGAUACCUGAGUAAAAUGAAGGAUCAAAAGAUCUCAGGGAUGUCCCAGGGCUCUCCAAUCACUUUCUAAGGAUAUCUGAGUAAGGGGUUUAUUGUAAAGAGCAGACAGCUGAGAACAGAGCCCAGGUAAUGCAACAUUUUUGAGCAGUAAUACAAAGAAAGCCCACCAACAUGAGUUUAGAUGGUUUCUAAAUUUCUAUGGAAAUAUAUUUUUGUGACACUCAAUUUUUCAUUUGGUCAGCAUUUUUCCCAGGGGUACAUUUAUACUUUUGUUGAUUGUAAUGAAAUCUACACACCUAUGCUCUGUUUUCUGUAAGAAUGUAUGCUGAUUUUGGUAAUGAGAGCAUCAAUUUAUAGCUAAGUCUGGCCCAAACGAAGGACACAAGCACAGAUGACAUAAAUAAACAAUGAGAACAGAAAACCUUGCAUUUUUUCAAAUCUCCAUUUCCCAGUCUUAAAACUUGUAGCAAACAAGAUCUCUCCGUUCUUUUAGAUAUCUUUGAUGUUACAAUACUUGUCAUAGAGUAGAUGUGUAAUGCUUAUCUAAUCAAUAAAUUAAGUCCAUGCUAGGAAGACAGUAUUGCACUGAGCCAGAAAAUGUUUAUGCCUCUCUGAUUGGUAGCUAUGUGAAAGUACUCUUGAUAUCCCUUUUCUAAUCAAUCGUAUUCAUGAAAUUAACAGCUAAUAAAACUCAUUCUUCUCUUAUUAAUCGGUUUCUGCUCCUGCAGAUGAAACUAAUGAUUUUCUUAGAAAAUUCUGAUGUAAGACUUUUGGAGAAAAAGCCAAAGAGAGUUAGAAUUUAUUUUAUUAGGCAAGUUAUGAGAUACCAUUUAAAUUUGAACUUCAGGUGAACUACAAAUAAUUUGAAAUGUACUUAUACUAAAAUGUUAUUUGAUGUGUAUAUGAACUUCAAAUUUAAGUAAGGACGUUCUACUUUUAUUUGCUAACUCUGACAAUUCUAUUUUAGAAAGAUUUUCUAUAGAUGAGAGUAAAAUGGUCUUUCUGGAAACGUCAAGCAAUCUACUUUUAUAAGUACGUCAAUUAAAGCCAAAGAGUUAGGAGAAUAGAUUUGUGGAGCUAAAUAUUUUAGACAGGUAGAGAAUUCAGGUGAAAUAUUUGAAGUAUUUUUCAAGACAAAGAAAAGGAAGGAAUGUCCAGUUUAGGCAAAUGAAAUGUUAUUUUUAGCUAUAUUUUAGAUAACAUACAAUAAAAUUUAAAAAUCAGUCAUUUCUCAGAUAUGAAGAGAGUCAAGCACAGCAUAGUAAGCCAUGUGUGAGAUAAAGCACAUUCAGCAGAAUUAAACUGCAUUCAAAUAUAUAUACUGAUAAAGUGAAUGUGUGGCAAGAUUAUACCACAGGAAACUAAAUUAGGUCCACCUCUCUGAAAAAUAGUAGGCUUAGAAAAUCUGUGGAAGACUGAGGACACUUAUAAUGAGAGAAGAUGUAGGUGAUUAAAGAGUUUUAUAAUGUUUUUAGCAACCAUAAAUGAGAGAAAAGUCUUUAAGCAUCUAAGUGAAGAAAAAAUUAACAGAAUUAUUCUCAACUAUGUGAUAAAGACAUUAAAAAGUACUAGGAUUGACAGAGCUUCAGAGUCAUAAGGGACUUGUUAGCAGAUUGUAAAGGAACUUGCUAAUGAAUAAAGAAAGCUUUUAAACAGACUCUGAAGAUCUCCAAAGAACUAGGACAUAUGUACUAUGGAAAUCUUCAGGAAAAUGUGAUAUAGUAAAAUUUAGGCAAAAGUGUUUAACCAUUAUAGGGUAUAAUAUUCCAAUGGUAUGAAUUUCAGACAGAAAUACUUAAAGUGUUGAAUUUUUCCCAUAUUUCCAAAUUUUAUUAGCCUGCAUUUGUGAUACAUAAUGAAUAGAUUCAAUGUAUAUUUAUAAUUUGAAUUUUUCAUGUAGGAGAAACCAUGCAAUAUCUAAUGUUCUCUAUCUGGUUUAUGUCACUUAGCAUUAUGUUCUCAAGGGAAAUCUUUGCUACCAGCGACUCCAAUUUAUUCUUCUUGGUGGCUGAGUAAUACUCUAUUAUAGAUAUACUGGAUUUUUUUAAGAAGACAAGAGAUGGAAGAAAAGGAGGAAGAGGAGGAGAAAGAUGAGGGUACCUGUUAAUCAAAUGUCACUAGUAAGUCAAAAGUACAGACUGUCUCUUCUUGUUGAUGUGCUUGUUUGUUUUGAGACAGUGACUGACUAUGUAGUACAGACUGUCCUGGUGAUGGUCCUUUCUCAGUAAAUUCUGGGAUUAUAGGCAUGCACCACUUCCAAAACAUCAUAUCGAUAAACUCAUCAAAUGAAAAAAACCCCCAAAACAUCAUAGAGAUAUAACAGCAGGGUGGGUGGGAUUAUUAUUUUUUAUUUGCAUUUUCAGGGGAAUAAAAAUAGUAUUUUUAUCAUAGGACAUAGUAGACAGUUUUUCUAAUAUCUUCUCUUGCCAAAGUUACUGCUUGGUCUGGCCUGAUUCCGCUGUGACGUAAACACAUCACUGUCCAAGAUAUUUCUAUUGCUUUGCCUUUUGGUGUGGAUAUUGAGGCCACAGAGACACCUGCAGGUCUUUCUCCAUCAAACGCCUGCACUCUGCACUGUACAGGGCCUGAUAUCUUGGCUUUACCUCUGUGUCCCAUAUACUGUGACAUUUUUGUAUGAAUUCAGCCACCAGAUGUUUUCCACAUGGUGGGAUGUUGUGCCAUUUGGAAUCAUUCACUUAAUAGGUCAUAGUAAACAUGUUACUAUUUAUGAAUUUAUAUGUCUGUUGCUAUGUAACAAACCCAGUAUUUGGUACUCAGAAUCACAGCUAUUUUACUGCUCAUGAUUGCAUGGGGGCAGUAGUGUGGGCAGAACUUGGCAGAGAUGGCUCAUCUGUGCUUGCUACAGCAGAUCUCUCUAACCUCCUUUACACAAGUGGUAUUUGAGGAGCUAGCUGUUGCCUGGACGCCAUGACUGUAACCCAUGGGGACUCCUUAUCCAUCUCCCAUCCUCCUGUCUCUGUGUGUGUCCACCCUCUCUAGAAGCAGAAUUUAACUUUCUUUAUGUGGACCUAGGUCCACGUAAGGAAAGUAGAAACUAAAUGACCCAAGCUUAGAAGUCCCAGAACACAAAUUCUGGCACAUUCUAUUGAAAGCCAACCACAGGGGCAGCGCUGAUUCAAGAGCUGAAGCAUUAGACUCCAUGUCUUGAUGAGGGGGUGAUGAGCAGGUCACAAAGUGGUGUAAGUAGGUUAAGUGGUGAGAGGGUUUUCUCUCUGACUACUACAUCUGAGUGGUUUCCAGAUAGCCUUUUACUGUAAGGCAGAACUAUGAACUCCACAUUCUUCCAGUUAUUUCCUGAGAAGAAUAAAUAUCUGCUUGCUUGUGAUUACAAUUUCAGUUUUUUUAAGAAACCAGUUUGAAAUUUCAAUAUAAUCACCUCUUCUCAAGUAGCGUUGAUGGUUAAUUCAGGAGAACUCACUUCUUUAUUAUCUUUUCUGUCCUUUUGAAAUAAAAAAAUCACUUGUACUCAUUUUAUAUGAUAAGAUAGUGAUUGUGUUAUAGACUCUUGCACACAGCACACUAAUAACUAAAAGUACAAAAAAAGUCCCAUGUUUCUGUAUGGAACAAUGUUGAAUGAUAACUGGCAUCAGUACUUUUGGAAAUUUUUGGAGUAGGAAGAAUACUUGUCUGUCAGCUAAAUUGUGCAAGUCAAGUUUCUAAUUUGCUAUAAUAUUUUGCUUAUCAAUCUGAAGCCAUAUUUUUGUGAUAUGCCAUAGAUAUGCUUACAGAACUUUCAAUUGGCAUGUAGAAAAAAGUGAAAAUUCCUUGGUGUGACAUUUAUGGGCCUGACCCAUUUUCAGCAAUCGCUCAUCUUUCCCAGUCUUACGGGCUAUGCUCCAGCCAAUCAAACCACCUGUAAUUUUCUGAAAUUGCAUUCUGAGUCACACCUGUAAGACUUUGCUGUUUCAACUCUCCAUUGAAGCAUCAUUGUUUGGUCCCCUGAUAUCUUUUACUCCCAUCCCCCAAAGCUUGCCUGAGAACAAUUGUUUCUAGGCUUAGGUAUGGUAUUGAGUCAUAUGAAUCAACCUUAGAAUUGCCUCUUUUUUUGUUGAAUUGAUUUUUUUUAUCUCUUGUAUGCAAAUUUCUAGACUUCUAUGUACGUUUUAUUUUUGAAGUAAAAUGUAUUACCACAUUUAAAUUUGCUUAUGUUUCUCAAUUUUACUAUUUGCAACAUAUCUUUUGUGACUCUUUUAUUCUUAGGACGGUGAUUGAUAUGAUUUUGAUAUUUUAAAAUAAUGUAUCUUGCAUUAAUACACCUAUAUUAAAACUCUUUCUGAUAUUUAAUCUUCUCAGCAAAUAAGUAUUCUCCUCAUGUCCCAAGGCAGAUAUCUAAGUAUUACCUCAGCAUGGAUUAUGCCAAUAUGAUUUACAAGAGAUCACUCAUGUAUGAUUCUGUUUUUUAAUUUGAAACUUGAAACAUGAUUAGAAGCUGAAUUUGUUCAGUCUAAAGAUGUGCUAGGACAGAUUUUAUCUUGGAUGCCACAAAGCAAUCAGGGACUGUUUAAGAACAAGCAGAAAAUCUUUUGUCUUUCAGAAGUCUGUUAAGACAUGGUGUUUGAUGGGCUUGCUUUCCAAGGCACACACUAGUUGAGUGCAAUUAAAUAAUAGAAUGUCAAAUCCACAAGCCAUAUUGUACAGAGUAUGUUUUGGAGAACUGUACCUUGAUGUGCCAUAUAAUUGUCAUAUGCAUUUCAGGCCUGUGCUCAUUAUCAAUUGGAACCAAUCAAAUAAAAACAUGUCAGUAUUCACUGAGAUGCUUACUUGCUCUUACGAGUUAUUUCUAAGGCCCACAGUGAUAGUAUAUUUUUAUGUCUGUCUCCUUCACCUCCUUGCACAGAUAUAGCUGCUCCCUUUCAAUACUCUCAAAUCGGCAUAUUCUUGUAACAGCUUUGCAAAUGAUUGCUUUAUUCAAGGUUAUAUUUAUCUUUCUUUUCCUUCAAUUUACAUUUUUAAAGUUAGAUCAGGAAAGUUAAUUUUGGCACUCAAAAAGAAUCAAUCAAUGUUUUUUUAAACUACACAUUUGUUGGAGUUUAGGUACAUGCAGUAAAAUAUUGUGUGUUUGGAGGUCAGAGAGACAUUAGAUCAUAUUUUAAGGACACUACUUUUUAGCCAAGUGAUUUAGGGAAGUGAAUUCUUUCUUUUUACAUCUACUAUCUCAUCUACAAAAUAUUAUUUAUCCCUAUAAAUCUCUGUUCCCCUAGAAAGUUAAGGUAAACAUUAUUUCCUUUUCUUUUAUGACACUUAGAUAUUUAAACGUGAUGAAUAUAUUCAUACUUAUUUUAGAGAGUAGUCAUUUAUUUUAGAAAAGCCAAUUAUUUUGCCAUCAUGUAUGUUGUCUUCUGAUUGGUACUCCUUAUUUCUUGUUCAGAUUUUCUCCUGCCUUCAGGUAAUAUGUGCUAACAUCUCCAUUAUCUCCCUAUGUGUCUUUGAAACUAAUCCUAAUUGUAGCUCCUGCUUAUUGAACAACUUGGAAUUAUUCUCUCAUCUACAUCUUCUUGAUUCGCCUAUGUUGCCUACAUUGAUUUCAGUGGUGGAAAAAAGUUCUAAACAGUCUUGCUAUAUUGCUCAGAGUAUGCUCAAAACUGGUCUCAUGUGAUCCUCCUGCCUCAGCCUCAACUACAGGUGUGUGCCCCCAUACCAGGCUAAUUGUGAUAUAUAAUUUAAUAUGUUAUUUAGUUGCAUGUAUCAAUCAUAUUUCUAUAAUAAUUUUAUUUUUAAGAAAUAUAUAUUUUAUCAAAUGUUUAUGAAAUUAGUAAGUUUAAAUUCAACUAUAUAUAUCAAAUUCUCAGUGGUACAGUCAAGAUGAUAUUUAUGAGAAUAUUAUUCCCUUGGGGUAUAUUCUUAUAAAUGUUACAAAUAUAUAAACUUCAAAACACUUAUUCAUUCCUUGCCAGUGCCAAACUAUCUCUUAUAUGAUUUUAAAUCACAUGAAUAUUAAAUAUUUCCAUAUGUAUUUAUAAAUCUUCUGGAGGGGUGGAGAUUACUAUGAAAGAGUGACUAUUCUUGAAACUGAAAUUACUAAAAAUAAUAUUGACUUAAUUCUAAAUCUCAUUGCUGAGGAAACAGUGUCACACUAUAUGACUGCUUUAUUAUGAGUAGAGAUUUGAAUGAUUUUUUUUCUGAGCUUCUGUUGAAAACUUAGAGGGUUUUUGGUUUGUUUUAUUAAACUGAAGUUGAACACAGGGCCUUCACAAUGACCUAUAUUCCACAGUUUUUUUCUUAUUUUUAGUUGGAGACAACGUCUCCUUAUAUACUAAGUGUCCCAAGCUGGGCAAACUUUGGAUUCUCCUGCCUCAGCUUUCCAGAGCACCAGAAUUACAGAUAUGCCCCAUUAUACACAGCUUAAUUACAAUUUUUAUUUCAGAGACCUCCAUCCAAAAAAGAGGAAGUUAUAACUUACGUCCCCUGGAUUUAAUGGAAGCCUGUUUCCUAAUUCUCCUGUCUAAUCACAGAAGUCUGUCCUCCCAUUUGUGUGGUUUACUUGUUUGUUUGUUGAAUAUUUUACUUUCAAGCUUAGCAAAUGGAUAUGUAUUUUCCAAAUUUUAAGACUUUUUGUGGAACCCCAAUACCUGUUUUUUUAUAUAACUUUAAAGAUACUUGAAGUCGAUGAAAUUUUGUAUUCUUAGAUGUUUUAAGUACCAUAAAAGCAUUUCUAGUAUUGAAAUAAUAUGAAUUAAAAUUUGUAUAUUUCUUCCAGCUUUAUCCAACUUGGGCUUAAAAAUUAUAAGGUCAUUCUCCUGAAAUGUAUUUAAUCAUUGCUUCUGGCAUUUUCAAUGGGUUUAUCCCAACAUUAUUGACCUUUGGAAAUACAGCACACUCUACUUUUGCUUGUAAUGAAGUACACAUAUUGCCAUUUAUUGACAUAGGAGCACACUUCAAGUUUAUAAUAUGUUCAAGUAAUAUCCAUCUGAAUUUUGAGCUGUUCACACUAGGAGUGUGUGUGUGUGUGUGUGUUUGUGUAUGUGUGUGAGUGUGACAGAGAGAGAGACAGAAACAGAGACAAAGAAACAUAAGACAUACAGAGAGAAAGAUUCUAAAGGGAAAACAAGAAUAAACCUAGACUAACUUAGAUUAUUUUGAUAUUUUAAAACCUCUAAAUAAAAUUUCAAUGGACAAGAGCUGAUGAAUGUUUUCCAAAGUAAGUCUGUUAACCCUGAAAAUCACCUAGAAUAUUCUAAAGAACCAGAAACAAAGUAAAUAUGAAUUGAUUUUGGCCAAAGUUUAAAUAAAACCACUUUGUGUUUUUGAAGAAGUUGAGUAAUAUAUUCUGAAAACAGAUUGUAGAACGGAUAGAGCACUUGAUUAGUACAGUAACAUGAUUUUGAAGACAUGAAAUAAGCAAAAGACUUGAUUUUUAAUGCAGGGUAUGCAGGUGUAUAUAAGAACCUUAGUAAAAGUUAUCUUUUUCAACAGUAACAGAUGUGUCCAGGUGUGCAGAGGUGUGUAUGAAUAUCAGUGAUUAAAAUAGAAUCUGAACUGAAAAGCAGUGCUGCCACUGAAAAUUUAUUCACGUAAAGAAUAUGUUCCACAGAGGAAGUAUUUUAAUGAUGCAUUUCAUGUACACAAUUAUUCACAUCUGCGUCCAUGUUUUUUUUUGACUUUCACAAAUUUUAGAUAUGUUACAAUCCUAUUUUUGCACUUAAUAAACAAUUUCUGAAGCUUGAAAAUGAAAAGGGAUGGGAUGUUUACAUAUCUCAAAUGGGGUGCUUUGACUUUUAUGAAAUUAUUAAAAUGUUAAACACAAAAGCAGUUAAAUCAUUUGGAUAAUUCUGUUCUAGUCUUCUGUUUAUCAGCACAAACCAUCGUUCCAUAGCUUUAUGACCAUUAAUGAAUGGCUCUUAUAUGUACGGAAAUGGUGCUCUCAUGCUCUUAACUCUCCCUGUCCUAUUCACUUCUGUUUUCCUGGAGUAUUCCUUCCUCUUCUACUUGGAAGUGUGUCUACUUGGGCCUAACUCUGUUGUUAAUCAUCUCACUCAGCACUCUUCUGUUCUUUCUUCUGUUCUCAGCUGUCAUGGGUCCUAUGAUAGGUGAUAAAAGGAAAAGCCCCAAUUUAUCAACCUAUGUGGACAGAAAAUCAUCCUUAGGUUCAUAAAAUUUCCCUUAGUCUAGCUGAAGUUUCAUCAUCUGUUCUCCAAAGUCCAUGGUUGUGCAGGUAAAAGCUAAAAUUCACUGUACCUUGCUUGACAUUUAAGCCUUUGAUGAUAGAAGCCCUGAGAAGCAGACUGUACCUUAACCAGUUCUUCAGCAAAAUAAACAAAAAGUAAAGCAAAACAAAAUUGACCUCUACUUAUUUAAAACCAACCAUGGUUUCUGUUUAUGUCUUCAAGAAGCACAUCCUCACUUAAUAAACAAUGUUUUAUUUGUUUGUUUGUUUUGGAGAUUGCACUUAGGGCCUUUGUGAUGAGCUGUAACCCUAGCCCCCAUUUGUUGUUUGAGGUAAGAUCUUGUUAAGUUGCAGAGGCUAGGCUUGAACUUGUGUUCCUCCUGCCUCAGCCUUCUAGACUCCUAGGAUUAUAGGGAUGCACCACCAUGCCCAACCACCCAACAAGUUCUACCCUAUCAUCAGGCCAGGUAUGGAGUAAAUGUUGAUGAGCAGGUGGUCUCUGGCCUUUUGGAAUCUACAUUAUGGUGGAAGCAUUUGAAGCUUGUCUUUAGACUACCUGCUCUUACUGUGAAUCUUCUCCAUUGCUUCCAUUUUGUCUUUUCACUCUUCUUCCCUUUUUCGUAAUAAAAUUAUGUCAUAUUAGUGAAUGGAGAUAGAUUUACACCCUAAUUAGUGGCUCAUAAACAGACUUUUUAAUAGCCUCCUAUUGGUGCUACUUCAAAAGUGACCAUUUUAUUGGUAUUAGUAAGUACUUUCAAAGUCAAGGGUAAGGAGAAAAUUAUGUUUAUCCCAUCAUGGGUAAACAGGGAUAGCAUUAAACUCCUCUGUAAUCUUUUAUCUCCUUUUCUGCCUUAAGUAUGGUAGAUUAGUAACAUGGGAAACAAGAGAAAAUGGGGAUUUUAGAAUAAGGAACAAAAAUGAAAUCAAAUUACAGUGAAGUGGGAAAGUAUAACUUUCUUCCUUCAGUGAACUUACUAUGUUCAUCCAAAGUUUGUCUUAUGCCAACUUCUGCAAAGAAGUGAAGGUUUCUGAAUAUAAGAGAGGUGAUAUUUAAUCAAGCAUCCAUUAGAACUCUCGUUAAUUCGUAUAACUGUCAGGCACGUUUUACAGGUCUAUGUCCAAAAAUAUAAGGAAAAUUUACUCCUGUUCUUGUUCUUGUGAUAAGAAUUUAUAUGAGCAUGUGGGGCUUGGUCAAAUUGUUGGUGGGAGGAAAUAAUACAGCAUCAUGGAAUUUCUAUUAAGCUUCACUGUUAUGCUCUAAAGAUUGAAAAGUGACCUAGGGAGAUAGGUGUACACCCUCAUGAAGCUUGGAGCAUCCCUAAUGAAAUAGAUAAAACUCAAGCUGAAAAGUACAUAAAACACUUCAAAAUUAGGAUAAAUAUAAUGACUUAAAUAUAUGAGGAGCUAGCAUAGAAAAUUGUACUUUGUAGGAGACUUGCUUAGCUCAGGUUACUAGGUAAGCUGUCUUUGAAGAAAUUGCACUUAAACUGUGACCUUAAAAGUAAAAGUGGGGUCGGGAGUGUUCUAGGCAGGGGUAAAAAGAAUGUGCAAAAGCCUUUUGAUGUGAAAAUUCCUGGCUAGGCUGUUUGAAAACUGAUAGAGGGCAGGUUGCAGGUAGAGGAGCAGUAAAAGCAAAAGUCAGACAAGCAGUUUUUCUAUUCCAAACAACCUAUGGGAGCUGUAAAUGUUAUAGAAAUUUUAUUCCUUAUUACUUGUCAGAGAAUAUAAUUUUGUUUUAACCAAAUUUUGCUUUCAUAAGCUCCUUUUAUAUUUAACUUCACUUAUGAAAGCUGGCCAUCUACUGCCGUCAUGUGGCACCCGGCAGUAUUACAUAUGUUAGGCACCGGUGAAAUCUAAAGCAUGAUUUUAGCAAAAUUCUUGUACACCCUUUUCAGUUAACCUCAGUCACCUCUAUCUGCUCUCAAACUCACAUAUGGGAAUUACUUCACAUUUCACUGUGCAAGGAACUGUGCAAGAGCCCCAGCUUCAAUGGCUUCAGGAGCCCGGCUGGUUCUGAUGAAGAGACUGAAGCCAGACCAGGUUGCGAGCAUCAGGAAGAAGGGAAGCCUAUAGCCAGUUCAGAGACACAAGCUAGAGAGAAAGACAUCCAAUUUUAUGGACUUAUUCUAUAAACCGGGAAUAUCAAAACAAUCUUAUGAGAUGUUUUUAUUUUUCAGUCUCUGUCCCCAAAUGUUUAACCCCAAUUACAUUAUUGAUUUCUCUCCCAAAACACAAAUGGUUUAUAUACUUCAUUUUUUACUAUUUUAUGAUUAUUUCAUACAAUAAAUUAUCUCAUUCUGUUUCUACAUGCAACAGCGAUGGUUUAUUUUGGAAGUUAUUUCAAUAGUUUUGUGGCUCAGUGUCAGGUUCUCUACUGAUGAUCUUUCUUUACUAAGGCUCAGGGAGCCAUUUUCAUUAUAAGAGGUUUUUUUCCCCACAAAUUAUUGUCUCCUUGCUUCAGGGAUAGUGAGAUGUUGAGCCUUGACUCCCGUUUUUCUCUGCACUAAAGUAGACCCAAAAUUGUUUUCUGAGGAGACUCAUCGCUAUUAGUUCCAGUGCUGCCUGUACACAUUUUUGACUAGAAAUUGAGUUAUUUUUUCAGGCCUCACUUUCGGUUUGUUCUAUCCAGGUGACAGUGCGUGUCCCACCCACAAUUUAGUUGACUUUUGGAGUAUGAAGCUCUAUAAAUAGAAACACAGAAUUACAGCUUGCCUGGUCCUUGUCAGGAACUAUUAUCUCAAAUUUACUAUGGUCCAUGCAGUGCAAAUGUUUGACUAAGAGAUAUCUAUGGAAGAAGAAGAAUAUUUAUUGGAGGAAAUGCAGUCAUCCAUUUUGCCAUAUAAAAUAAAAUCUGUUUCAGGAUUAAGGGAGACCAUCAAAACUGCCUGACUGGACUGCCUUAUACUGGGCCCAGCAAAAUUGCCCCCCAACAGAGCUGUGCUUUAGUCAUCAUGAUGAAAUAUUCUCUGUGAGGAAUCAUGGGGAAUAGUUUCUCUUCCUUCACAUUGGAGUUUAUUCCAAAUAACUGUUUUGUAUUAUAUGCAGUCUUGUUACUGGUUAUAUUGUGUUCCUUUUUACAUGUCCAUUAGAAAGCUCAAAGUCAAAUUCAUGUUCUAAGUUGACUAAAUGAAAAAUUCGUCAAAGCAUGAAUUUGUUAAUCAUGUUUAUGGCAUCAUCUUGCUUUUCUGUUUUAUUUUCCAAAGUUUCUCUUCAAAAGGUUUUAAUAUUUUAUCUCAUUAUGUUGUACACAUAUGUAAAUAACUUAAAUACAUCUAAGAUCAAAGUGAUAUAUAAACAAAACCAUAGGAUUUAUAUUGAUGUUAUGCUUUUUUAUAAAUCUUAAUUUCCAGCUGAACACUGUGAACAUAAACAAGAUUUGUGUGCGUGCAUGUGUGUGUGUGUGUGUAUGUGUGUGUGUGCAUGUGUGCGUGCACUCUUGGGCCAGCUGGCAAGUAGGACCUAGGGAUCAGGAGGGGCUACAGAGAAGAGGAGUCUCACUAGGAGUUUCUCUAGCCAAGGGAGUUCCAGUCACAGGUUUGAUGUUGUUUUUUAAAUUUUAAUUUUUAUUAGUACACGCUUGCAGUACAUAAUAAUUACUUUCAUUGUGGGAAGUUGCUACAUAUACAUAAUAUAUAAAGGAUUUUUAAAAUAUCUAAAGAGCUGAAGCAUCCUUUCAUAUAACAUGAAUUUUAGAAACCAUACUAAUUCUAUUUUGCAAUGCACAAAAUUAAACUUAUAAGCUAUCGAGGUAUUACAUUUUUCAUGAAAAUAUUGCUAAAAAAAGAAAUAGAGGAGAAUAAGAGCAAACUGAAGAGGAUCAAAUAUGUUUUUACAUUUGUGGCAAAGAGCUUUUCCAUCUGUGCAGAUUGGUGACUACUGUAUGAGGUGAAAACCAGUCUUGCUUAGUACUUGGGAUCUUUAUAUAUGGUCUUGAUAUUCAUCCCAUAUAAUCAUUCCACACUUGUGAAUGAGUAUCAGUUUCAAGGGUGAUUUUAGUACAAUUAACUUUACAUAAAUAUAAUUUAGUAAGAUAAUUAUGUUUGCAAUGACCCAGUAGUGUAGCCUCAAAUUCAGUCUUAAGACUAGAGACAGUAUGCCUGUAUAUAUGAUAUACAUGUAGAAAGUAUGUGUAUUCUUAGACCUCUGUUAACCUAAUAAUGUACUCUGCAGUUUACGAUACUAUUAAAGCAAAGCAUCCUGAAAUUUUUCAAUAUCAGUAAGGUAUCCUACAUGAGAUAUUUAAUAUUAUUGAAGCUAAAACUUCAUAGGAAUAUUUUUUCAUAAUUAUGACUAAAUUAUAGCUGUCAGCUAUUUAUCCAAGUAGCGCUAAACACAGAUUUAUCACUUAUCAGCUCUUUAAUAAUGAUACCUAAAGUUUAUUGAAUGUCCACUUUAUGCGAGCAUUGUAUAAGUAGCUUUUCAUACACUAUCUCAUGUACUUAUAAAACAUUUUAUGGAGUUCAUUGCCAAUAUUUCAUGAAUGAAAUAUGAGUAACAUAUUUGCAUUUCCAUAGAUGAGUAUUUUUAAUAUUGAGAAAAUGAUUGCAUUUAUUUGCCUGAAAUAAUAUGCAUACUUUCUGUAGACAAUAUUAGGAUUUUGUAAAGUUCUAUCUUCUGCUGAUUCUUGGGAAAUCCUAAUGGAAAACCUGGAAUUUUAGAUAAACAAUCAAAAUUGUUUUUCUAUGUGUGUGACUUGAAAAAUGUGAAUCUUUCAUGCAGCAACAAGAAGACACAUUCCCUGACUGCCACUUAUAUUUAUGUUGCAGUGUGUGCAACAAAUAGUAUUAAGAAAAAUGAGAUUGUGGACAUUUUGCAAAUAGUUACACUUAAAAUCAUAAGCAAUAAGGAAUUAGUCACUUAUUUGGACCAUAUAACAAUUUGAGUGUGAUAAAAAGCAAUAUUUAGACUGUGUUGAUGAGAUUAUCACUUGUCAUAACUGGUUUGAAAGACAAUUAAAAUUAUAAAUUUGAAGAUGUUCUUACCCUAUCAACUAGCAAGUUCACUUCUAGACAGGUAUCAAGGAGGAUCAGACACAUAUGAGUAAGAACACAUAUCUCAGGGUGUUUGCAGCAUCUUAUCUAUGGUUUUAGCACACUGAAAUCUGAGAGGAGAAAUGCAAACAGGUUAUGCAUGUAUAAAAUGGAAUACUACACAAGUUUGAAUGAAGGAAAAGAAUUAUAAAUCUCAGCAAUAUGAAUCUCAGAAACAUAAUGUUGAAUGAAAAUAGCACAUCUCAAACAGAUACAUGCUUGCUGAGUACAUGUUAAUAAAGUUCAAAAGCUUAUAACUUUAAAAUCUUCUUAGAUAGGGAUGGAUAUUAUGGUGAAGCUAUUAUAAGAACAGGAACAAGAAACAUUUCUAUGAUUUCUAUGGAAAGAAACACAUGAGCAUGGAAGGGUCAUCAGGGAGCUUUGUGAGUUCUGGUAAUUUCUUAUCUUGAACUGGAUGUUGUGUGGGUCAUUUUCCUGUUAACUUUAGUGCUUCACAUUGAUCCUAAGCUCUUUUGUAUAUAUACAGUUCUUAAAAAAAGAAGGUGGAGUUAUGUAGAUUUUAAGUAUUUACCCGAAGUCUUCUGUACCACAUUCUAGAGAACCAUCUGCUCUUGAGUUAUUCUUUCUGCAUAAUUUUCUAUGAGUAUUUUUCAUAAUGAAGUUAUUGACCAGUAUAUUUUAAAUCUUGUAACUUUUUCAUCAAACUUUUUCAUCAAACUAUGUAAGUCUCCCUGCACCCUGGCUAGCAUCUGCAAAAUUUAAACUCUUGGCAAUUUAUAGUCUUCUGGAAGCCAGACCAUUUGGCAGUGUUCUGUCCUUUUGAUUCCUGCCUCAGUCUUUUAAAAAUGAUAAAAAGUUGAGUCUUUCUUCGCUCUGUAAGAUGACAGAAACCUAGCAGAUAGCUGAUUAAGUGGCCCUGCAGUGAUUUCCUGACAGCAGUUGGUAGCUUAUGCUUGCCUUUCUCCAGGUAGGAGGUAUAGUCAAGGCUAUAAAUAUCUAAACACCCACAGACAGGUUCUUAUUGCUACUGAAACUCUUGGUGGUGUUUAUUUCUCCAUCAGGUCCUGCAAAGGCUGAGUCCACGCUGUGUUCUCCCUCUUCUCUACCAAUACCUGGUGGCUGGAAUUAUUUUCAGGUCUUUCUUACCUUCACAUUUUAUCUUUGUCUCUCACAGCUGAUUCCCUCUAAUGGGCUUAAUAAUUGAAAGAGAAUUCACAAAAUCUCUCUUUAAUGAGUAUAUUUUUGCCUUUUUUUCUUUCAGAAAUCACUAGCAUUCUUAUUUUCACUCAACAGUGAAGGUAGAAGAACAAAGUCAACAUUCUUAAAAAAAGCUCUUCCAUUUAGCUUGCAAUAAUUUAAGUGUGCAAGGUUGGGAAUAUAUUGAUAUUCUGUGAUCAAUUAAUCUGAUGUCGUGUGUUGAGUUUUCUUCUGAUAUUUAUUUUAUUGUGCCAAUAAGUUCACUUAAUCUUGUAUAUUUUGGUACAUUACCUCUUUUAAUAUUUUUAAAAAUCCAAACAUGAGAAUAAAAGUAGAUAAAAUUCUACUUUCUAGAGACUAUUUUUAUAUAUUUAUUAAACUGUAGACUCUAUCAUAGAAAUGUUUGCAACACACACACACACACAAAACAAUGUAUCUUGCCAGUGAAAUGCUGAAAUAAGCUUUUUGUAAUAGGUAUAAAUUAUAUUUUGAGUUCUCUAGAAUAUUAUAAAUUGAUAUUACAGACUGAAUUUAUGCAACAAUGUUAAUUCAAAUUAGGUAAAUCUUUCAAAGUAACAAAUAUUUGAUAAAAGAUCUGGCUUAGUCACAUUGCAUAUACAGUAUUAUCCAUUUAUAUUAUUACACAUCCUGCACUUUAAAUUUUUAACAAAACCAUGAUGUAGUUUUAGAGUGGAAAUAUUAUUUUAAGAUACAUUAUAUAUUUCUAAAGACUAUACUGCUGUAAAUUUUAAUGAUAAAGAUCUGCUUAAGUUAGGGAUUUGAAGAAUAUUCUCAUUUUAUUUUAUAUUUUUCAUUUUUUUGAUAUUCCCAUUUAAAGGAGACAUUUUAGUAGAAUAAUUUAAAUUGCAGUGAUUAAAAUAGUACCAAAGUAAAAUGUUUCAAGAAUUUAUUUCAAAAUUUCUAUGAUGAAUCUCAGUUCUGAAAUAUGAUUUUUUGCAUGGAUGUGGUUUAAUACCCCCCUCACUGUUAUACACACACACACACACACACACACACAUACACACACACACACAUAAUUCCUAAAUUUAAAAAGUUUUAAACCUAUUUUUAAAACCUGUCCAGAAACAACUAUCUCAUCUAAUAUUCUAAGAACUAUAGUAGUAAGAAAAAUUAACUUGAUUCUCAAAUGGGUAGAAAGGAGAAAAACGUCUUCAAGGAAUAGCUAGUAAUUGUAUUUCAAAUUAAGGAGGUAUUUGAGUGAUUCUGGGCUGAGAUGUGCACACAUUAAUGGAAAUUAUUAUAUAUUCACAUUCAUUGGUUAAAAAUAAUAUAUUUAAUCUCUACUGAAGAAAGGUUAGGUUAAUCCAUUUAGCAUAGUUCUAAGCCCCAGUUGCUUUAUAAUGCUCUUCUAGAUUUUUGAGUUAAACUAUCAGGAUGAUGCAUAUUUUUCAUUUAACAUUAUCAAAAUUUAGGGUACCUUCUCAUUUUCUGACUAAAAUAAAAUUUCUCAUUGAUGUUUCAAUUAUUAUGGCAAAUAAUUUGACUGCUUUAGAAAAGAAAUUAUAGAAACACGAAACUUCCUUUUAAUAGGUGAUUUUGCUAGAAUUUUAUAGUUUUAAAAUUGAAAUUUCCUCGUGCAUAAUCUGACAUGAUAAACUUAACUAUUUCUUUCCAAGUAAUAUUUUAAAAAGUUCUUUUCUAAUUUGGGAAAAUUGAACACAAACUCAAAACCUUCAAAGUUUCUAAUGAUUUUAUUUCAUAUAAAAAUGACUGGAAAUUCUAAAUGGUGAAGGUGUUCAAAUCUAGAUUGAGAAUUAAGAUACACAAUGUUUGCUGCAAAAUCUGGUUUUUCUUAAUUAAAAAUUAUGGACUAUUCACUUUUCCAUAACUAGGAAAAAAUAUCCAACACCAGCAGCUUAAAAGAGUUGUUUUGUUUCAUGUUUUCAAAAGGUUCAGUUCAUGGUUAGCUGGCUCUAAGACAGACAUGGCAUGGUAGAAGGAGAGAGCUACUCACAUCAUGGCAGCCAAGAAACAGAGAAGGAAGAAAGGGACCAAGGACAAAUAUAUACCGUUCUGAGUUAUGCCCCAUUGACCCACCUUCUUCAAUCAAGCCCUACCUCCUAACAGCACAUUCAGUUAUAAAAUCAUUAUCAGUUAAUCUGCUGAUGAGUAUUGAGACCUUCGAUCUAAUUACCUUCUAAAAGCCACAUCUCUGAACACCUGAUACUUUUGGGGAACUUUUUGUAGGUAAACUAUAACAUUGUAGCUUUGAGAUAAUUAUAGAUCCACUUUCAGUUAUAAAGAACAAUACAGAAAUCCAUCUGUUUCCCCCAUGGUAACAUUAUGCAAAAUUAUAGUAGAAUAUCAUAACUUUGACAUAAUCCACCAAAUUAAUUGAGAUUCAAGUUUUCAUUCCACAAUGAAAUCCAUGGUCCAUUCAGUUUUUAGAAUAAAACAUUUGAGAAAUAAAUAUACUGAUGGGGUUCUAUAGUAAAUAUUUCCAUCUAAUCCAAAGUUGCUAAAUUUAUACAUCUCGAAGGAGUGUCUAUUCAUUACUCAAGUUAAAUUUAAAUAAAAAAUUUAAAGGUAAAUGCAAGAUAUUUCUCAGUUAUGGAAAGGGUUAAAAUUGCAGACUAGAUUUUCUUUUCCUUGUUUUUAGGAAACAAUAUUCAAUCCUUUAAAAUACUAAACAAUAUUCAAUAUUUUAAAAUUGCACCUUCCUUAGUACCAUAGAAGUCACAACUGUGGAGAGAUUAAUAAUAUACAUGUAUAUUUUAUUAUUAAAUUCAACAUGAAAAUAGUGCUUUAUACUUACCUAUUUCAUAUAAAUAGAUUUCAUAAGGAAUAUUACAAUGUUCUAUAAAAGAACAUUUUUUCUUGUAUAAGUUGCAAUAGGGAAAAUUAAAAUAAAAUGUACUGCAUUUGACAUUGGGCUUACUGUACAUUUGGAAAGACGGGAUCAUUAAUCUCUCCCACUCAUCAUUUGUGUUUUAGAGACUAACUUUAUAUUAUAGUCAUAGGAGUCAGUUUUAAGUCCUGAUAUUGUGUCUUUUUAUGCACCCUUGUUGAUGUAGAUUGAAUUAAUGAGUAGAUACAGUUACAACUUUUAAAAUGAGUUUCAGAGCUUCUAUGGCUUAAUGAACACGUACCUAUUAUUCCAAAACGUAUUGCUCAUAUCUUAAAUAUAAUGUCAAUAACUUUCAUUUGACAUACCCAGAAUUAUUGUGUAAAAAUUAUUUAAAACUAAUAUGACUAAAUUUUCAUGUUUAUGGAAAUAUGUUAUAAGCUGUGCUACUUAGUAAUUGAAUCUUCUUUUUUACUUGAAUAUUUUAAAUUAUAUUUAAUUAAAAUAGGAUAAGCAUCCUAAAUACAUUCAAAUAAUGUGAGGUAAAAUGUAUUAACAUACAUGUCUGUUAAAUGGAUGGAAAAUAUUUUAUCUGCAUAUAGUUCUGUAGCCCAGAUGGGAAAAAUAUGGAAACAAUCCUGGAUGAUUCUUAACCUUUUAUCAAUAUAGAAUUUCCCAGUGGGAGCUGACACUCAAUUCAGAUAUGUUCUAUAGAAUAGGUACUAUCUGAACUUGUCUCUGAAUAGUAAACAGGAAUGACCAGGAAAUCUGAUUGCUUUUGCAAUGCCAUAUGCUAGGAUAGAUGAAUUCAUUUACUCACUUGAUAUAUCAUUGUUACCAUAAUGAUAUUCUCAAAAAUAUAUCUUUAUUGCUGAGGCAGAGGAGCAGACAAUAGUAGGGAUGGCAUGUAGGAGCUAAUUUAUAAAUAGUUGGUAUUUGAAAGCAUUAAUUUUCCCCCAAACAGAUAGAGCUCUUUUCUAAAAGAAAUUUUAAGGUCAUAGUCAUUAUAAUAGAUAUUAUGUAAAAGACAUAUUAGAGCAAAUAGUUUAUUAUCAUUAAGAAUUUAAUAUUUCCAAAUAUGAUGCACAUGACACUUUCUUAUCUAAUUUUAUUCUUGGAUACUUGAUUUUUUAUAAUUCAAAAAAUUCCUGUCUGCAGACCAUUGAAAGAAUUGGAGUGAAUAGAAUGAUGCAUUUGCCUGCAUAUUAGAUGCAAAAAAUAAUUUUUAAAAACAGAAUUUCUUCCAGGAAAAGCAUACUUACAAGAUUUCCCAAAGCUAUAAAAGUUUAGCCUGAGGCAUUCUUCCUACUUGCUUUGCUCUCCUGCCCACCACACUUUUAGUAUUUGAAAAAUCUACUUAUCAAAUUGUCUAAUCACUUCUCUUGAAUGAACUCCUGAAAGUACUAGUCAUAAAGUGAAUUGAGACAGAAAUCUAGAAAGUCAUCUCGAGUUAGUUACAUCUCUGUAGUUCAUUGUGAUCACUAAGACUUAUAUUUUUAUAUCUGAAUGGACAUAUUUCUAGUUAUUUUCUCUGUGAGUUUAAUAUGCUCUUAGUUUUGGUUUAAGUCCAUCCAGGCUUAUAAACGUAGAUGCAUAAUAGUUGUUUUGAAACUAAUUUCAAACAUCAAGGAUUGAAAUGCAUUUGUUUUUGCACAUUGUAUCUGCAGAAGGUAGAGAUAAGAACUUACAAUGUAUUAAUAGUCAUCUUGGUAUGCUUCCCUGUGCCUGAGCUUGGUACUUCACACAUUCUAUGUUAAUACGUAAGCUCCUGAGUCAACAUUUAGGAAGGUGAAGAAACUGGCCUUAUCUUCAAAUUAUCAACUUGAAAAGGGAGAGUUAUUUUAUUAUUAUCAUCACCAUUUAAAAAUUUUUGAUUGUGUUUCACUAAUUUUGAUUAGUGAGUUUCAGUUUUGAUGACUCAUUUAACUCUUUCAGGGUUAAAAAUAUAUUUAGACAUUGUGAAGCAAAACAUAGUUACAAAAAAAUCACCAACCCAUAUACAAUAGCUUUACUAAUCCAGAAAAAUCUGGAUUCUAUAAAGUAUGGAGUAUUUUCUUCAAAAAUUGAUGAUUUGCAAAUUAUUUUAUCAUUGUUAACUGACACAAUUGUAUAUAUUUCUGGGUUAUAGUGCAAUAAUUUGAUACUUGUAUAAAAUUUCCACCUCCUUAAACAGUUAUCAUUUCUUCAUGUUAGAUACUUUCAAAUCUCUCCUUUCUAGUUCUUUCUAAAAUACAUAAUAAAUUGCUGUAAACCAUAGUCACCCUACUGUGCUAUUGAAUAUUUGAAAUUAUAUGUCUUAUUUAAUGAUAUUUUAGUGAUACUUAUAGGGGAGAAUCAUGUUUACUGUUUUUAAUUUUAACUGUAUGAUCUAAGAGUCUCUAAAAUAAAAUUGAAGAACCUCAUGCAUUUUAAAAAUAUUUAAGGUUUAUCUCUUUCUAGAGAUGGUAAGAUAGGAAAAAAAUUUUUUAAUGCGUCUCUGGUCCUGAGGUAAUUGCCAUUAAGAUAUCAGUUCACCUUAAGUCUGUUUUUCGUGGGAUUCUGAAGGACAGUUAUAAUUGUAGAGUUGUAGAUGCCUCUGAUAAGUAUUUAGAGAUCCUGAACAUAUAACUACACUAUGAAUUAGGAAGUGGUGUCAGGUAGCAUUUUACAAUUUGAAAAUUGAUAUACUAAGGACUAGUUGGUGGUGGAUCAAAUUAUAUCAGGUAUAAUAAAUAACAGUACUUGGAUCUAAUAGGUUAGGAGUGCAUAGUUUUACUACCACAACACAGAAAACUAAAAUUCUUUGUUUAUAAUUAUUUUAUGUGGAUAUAUCAGUGUGUGUAUUUAAAUUCCUCUUUACCUGUAUAAUUUGCCUAUCUAUAUCUAGAUUUACCUAGUUUUCAAAGGACAGGUUAGAAUCCUGGCAAGAUCUUAAACUAUUCAGUUAUGAGAAUCUGGAUUCCUUUUCGCUAUAUUUAAAAUUUUUAUUUUUCAUCAUCUCUCAGCUUCUAUAAUCUUUUCUUUAUAUACUUCCAUCUGAUACUAAAUUUGCACAGGUUUACUGACUUGUGUAUCACCCAUGGUGUCUGGUGAUUAGGACACAGCAGGAGUUCCUUAAAUCCACUGGGAUUCCCCAUCCUUAGGUUUAUAUUGGAUAUUUGUUGCUUCAAUAAUCCAGCCGCAGGAGUUUAGAAUCCUCAGGAAGAACAAAGACUUCUUAUCUAUAAAAUGGUAGCAUUCAGAAGAUUUGGAAGUUAGAAGUACUUUAACGACAAAGGCAUUGUGUGAAAAUGCUCAAAUGUUCCUUAUAUUGACUAUAAUAAUAUGUAGUUUGAUAUAUAAGUCAAUGCUAGGGUCAUGGGGCAGAAGGUUCUGCUAUACUCUUCUGCAUUUGGAAUGAUCCUCAACCUAGUAUGCUUUCAGGGUGACAUUUAGAUGGAACUUUUAAAAAGUAUAUCACCUUCUCAGGAAAGUACUGCAGAGUAAAGCAGAUUUAUAGAGCUGGAAGCCUAUUAUGCAGAGCUGUAGAUCACUGCUGCCAACCAAUGAGACUUGCCUUUUUUUUCUUCAAAUAUUCACCAAAAUUUCCUUUGUCUUGUCUCUUUUUUUGUAUGAUAACAAUUCAGUUAGAUAUUUUUCUUUGGUCUAAACAGUUAAAUUGUUCUUUAGCCUAAAUCUUAUUUCUUGAUUUUUGUUCCGAGUCUCAUGCCAUAAACAAAUGUUUUUGUUUAGCUGUAUUUGUCAGGAGUGAUAGAUCUAACAGCAAAGCAUAAAUGUAGGCGGGUAGUUAAAAAUCCAAUACCAUAAAUCACUACAUUUACCAUGUGUUUGUGAAGGGAUAUGAAGAAAAACAGAACAUAGGUACAGUAGAAAAAUAUCACACAGUUUCUCUUACGUGAGAAACUCAAAGUAUAAAUAAAUUAAAGAGCAAAAUAAAAGAUAAAUAAGAAGAGGCAGGUAGACAGAACUUCUGUAAAAGGAAAGCGGACCAGUAGAUGGAGAGAGGAAGAAGAGGAAAAGAGGAUAAAAAAGAAUUAAAAUGUGUUAUGUACAUUUUUAACUUCCAAUUAUGAAUGUAAUCUAUAUGUACUGCAAAUAUGUACCAAUAAAAAUUUCAAAAAUAAUGUAAUCCAAUAACAUGAUUUUAGGAGGGCAGUAUUAUCAGGUGCAGAAUUUUAAUCAUUAUGCAGAACAUUAAGAAAAAGAAGUUUGUAGUUAUGUACACUCCAUUGUAUUUAAAGCUUCUAAUAAUUUAUACUAUAAAUGCAAUAGUGGCUCUUCAUAAAGAACCUCACUUAGUAUUAUAAAAUUUACUGCAUCCUAACUGAUGAUAUGGGUAGAGUGACAAUUCUUGCUUAUUGGAGAGCAUUUCUUACAAAUAUUACAAAUUGAAAGAUUACAAAUAUUUUACUGUUGUGUAUGAUUAAAACCUUACCAUAUUAAAGUAUUUUGGAAUGUUUUCUAAUAGAAGAAAGUAGAAAACCAGUUUUUUCUUUUUAGGCCACAUGAUGUAGAUACUUGAAAAUUAUCACAUACCACAACUAUAAACUAUUUCCUUGUUCUUAUAAUCAGAAAACUACUUGCAAUAUGAAUAUUAGUAACCAUACUCAUGCUGAAUAUUCAUUCAUUUACAAAUGAAAAAGCUUUUUUAUGGACUUGGGUAUAUUUUUUAUGUCAGCAGCAUAAAUUCUUAAAUACAUACUGAGUUUAUUUCUGUGUAAUAAAAGAAUAAAUCAUAUCUAUAGCCAUAGACAACAAAAAUACUAUUAUCAAAAAUUCUGUUACAUCUCUCUAAAGUUUAUGCUAUUAAAUUGGAGUUGUUUUAUUUAGUAAUGGGCAUUCUGGCAUUCUUUUGUCUUUUGGGAAAAUAGGCUUCCUCAGAAAGUAGUUAUUUUGAAGGCUGGCAGCUAUUUCUGGCUCUCAACUGCCACAGAAAAUUUCCAUCCCAACAGUGGGAGGUGUAAAUAUAAUCUGACUGCUACUGGCUAAUUUGUGUCCCUUUUAUAACUGUGAAUAACAAUUCUAAGGUUUUGCUAAGAUGCCACACGUAUAUUAUUUCAAUUUUUUUCAAAUCAGGAAUAGGCACCUCUCUUUUACUGCUGUGGUAUGAAAGGUAAUUAAUAAGUCUUGUCUGUGACUUUUAGCUUAGCAAACUGAUUUAUUUAUGGGGAGAGAAAUAAGAGACAAGAAGAUAUUUCAAACUUUGCUAUCUCAUUGGCAAUUCCAUACACCAUUGUGGAGUUUGAUUUAAUGCACUUCCAUCUUGUACACCAAUCAAUGUUUCAAUACUAGAAGUUCCAGAAAUACAUUUUUACUAUAGUUUCACCCUGAGGAUGAGAUUAUUACAAAAGUCUACUAUAUUUGAGAUUUUUACUUUCCCUAAUACAGUUUGCAGGUACCCAGAAGAGGCCAUGGCAAUUCAUGUUAUUGUUUAUAAAGAUUGUGAAAAACCAGUGUCAGAGUGAAUUCACAUGUGCAUGUUUUCGACGAGCUAAUGUAAUGUCAAGCAUGUAAAAUUUGGCCAUUAUUUGGUUGUUUUUGCUACUGCUUUUGGAAGCUGGAAUAAUUUUACUAAAUACCAGUAGGUGAAGUUUGUUUCCUUUUCACAGCUUCUUGCAUCUCAUCAUCAGAAACUAUACUAAUAAUUACAGGACUACAUUAUAUUUCCACUCAACUGCUUGCAUUCUCUAUUUCUUUAGCCUGUUGUUCAGACCUGAAAUUUUUGUAAAAUACAGUAUUUACUUUUAAAUGAAUCUCUCUGUAGUCAUUGUUACCUUUGUGGCUAAAAGUUGACACAGACAUAAAGUGGAUUAUUGCUUUCCCAUAUUUUCCAUGUUCAAAUCACAGUUAUUUGAUUCAUAUAAUCAUUUAAGAGUAGAGGUACAUGCUUGUAAGAUUUCUGAAAAUGUAUGUUUUAUCUAGAUGAACCCAUUUGCCCAGUGAUUUUUGAUACACAAUUUGAGUCAACAGAAAUAUUUCCCUUGAGGAAAAUAAAGUUACAUUUAAGAAUGUUAUUAGUUCUCUAUUGGCACUAAAACAAAUUGCCGCUGGUUGAUUGUUGAUUAAAAAACAAAUGAAUUUAUUAUUUUUAUAGAUUUUGGGUUAGAUGUCUAACAUAGUUCUCACUGGACUAAAGUCAAGGUAUCAGCAGGGCUGCAUUCCUUUUUGGGGGCUCUUGAGGACAUUCUAUUUCUUUUCCAUUUUUAGGUAGUAGAGGCCAAGUAUAUUUCUUGCCCUGUCAUUCCCUGUCAUAGUCAAAGGUAGAAAUUUUGCAUAUCUCCAUAACUUCCAUGGUCAUAUCUCUUUCUGGCUCUGAUUCUUCACCUUUUCCCAUUUUUAAGGACUACCGUGAUUCAACUCGCUACACUAGAUUUAUUCAGGAUAAAUACCUAUUUUAAUUAGCAACUAUAUUUUCCAUUUACCAUGUACUCUAAUGUACCCAUAGGUUUUACAGAUUAGAAUAUGAAAAUCUUUGUAGGCCAUGUCCUAAUUCUGCAUACUAUAAAAAUGGACCCAACUUUUAAAAUAAUUGUUGAAAUGUGUAACUAUUCUUUGAAUGCAUUUGUAUAUGAAUACAUUAAUGAAUUAAUAUAGCAACUCUGAAGCAAUUUAUUAAAUGAAAUUUAACUUAAAGUAUUUAAAUUGAAAGAAAUUUCCAUCUGAAAUGGUAGCAGUAUUGAAUAACACUAAUGUUAUCCCCCCAAAACAGUAGUUAUAAUAAGAGUAAGUUUUAUGACAUAGGCAAAAUGUAGUACCAAGUUUUGUCAAUCAUAGUGUGUAAUUACAAAUCCAAGAUUCCCCCUCUUUCCAUUGGACAGGUGGGCGCUGAUAUGGGGAAUUCAAAGGUGGCUGUUUCCACACCACUCAAUCUUAAGGGACAUGCUUCUUUCAAACUGUGAUGAGCAGCAUAUGAUUACAAGUUGGUUUGGGGGCUCAAAGUUAGAGCCAAAGAUCUGUGAACAUAGUAUGGACCUUCAAUGAUUUGUAGGUCAUGUUUUUUGUUCUACACAUGAGAAAAAUAGGUAAUGAAUAAAAGAGUCACUAAAAGCCAUAUUGAUAUUUUUUUAGUAUGACUAGGUUUUAAAGUUCACCUCUCAGGUCUUGUGAGAAACUCCCUGUCUUUUCCAUCAAAGGAUGUAAAGAAGAGUGCCUCCAUCUUAGAUUCUAGUCCAGCCUAGGUGGCCCCUCCUGAACAUACUGAAAUUAUGGGAAAUGUUUGCUCAGUUCAAAUUCUGGAAACAUAGGUACAGAAUAAGAUAACUAUCAAUAGCCAAGGACCUUCUGUUCCCCACACCCUCCCUCCUCCUGCUCUUCUUUCCCUUAACAAUCUUCCCCAGGCACUCCUUGGGCCCACCCUUCAUGCCACUUUAACUAGUCAAUCAGCAUAGACUGUGAACCUUCAACCCAGCCAAUGGGGAAAAGGUCAGCUGCUUCCCAUGUGUUAGAGCUUGAAACCCCUACUUCCCUGCUGCUGGGUGGUAGUGCUACCUCAUGUUUCACCCUUCUGGAGAAGCAAAAUGACUUGUGCAGAAUUCCUAAUGUCUGAGUAGUUUGUUAUCUGCACUGACAUAUUGAGUCUGGGGACAUAUUUCCAACAGCCUUAAACCUCCUUUCCAAUCAGGUCAUACACAUAUUUGGCCUCAAAAACACAUUUAUUAAUGUAUCCUUGUUGACUUUCUUCUUUGUCUAACUGAUUUUGAUUAUCUCCUUGGGAACUUACAGCAUUGGGAAUUCUCAGUUACCCUAGCUGCCUUCAUUUCUAGACACAAAGUAAUGUAAGUUUAGAUGGGGAGAAAGAAGGAAAAAUAUUAGGGAAAGUGCAAAAUUGUUAUCACACCAUACAUAUUUAGGUGAGGAGACAUUAAUGCACUCUAAUAGUAAUGUGUAUCUAUUUCUUUCCUUAUCCAUCAGAAUUCAGGUGAUUUCCUAUCCAUAAGUCAGAAAGCAGUUGCUGUCAUUUUUUGAGUAAGCUUAUUGCAUUCAGUCAUUCUGGAUGCAUCCUUGUAUUUUGUCAUAUGUCAUUUAUAUAUUUAUACAAAGGAGGAUAAAAUUCUUCACUAAUGUAUAUGAAGUAACACCAUAUUCCUUAAAUAAGAAAUGAUUUACCUAAUUUGGCAACUAACAAAGUUUUUAACUUUCAGUUUUAUGCAUGUAAAAUUAAACAAAAACAUAGGACCAUUCAGGUUCCCUAGACAAAAAGUCUAAAGUAGCUAUCAUUCACUCAGCUUUUCCCAUAAGCAUUGCCAAGAAUGUUUUAUAGGUUAAAUUUUGUUCUCACCAGUUAAGAAUGGCUCCCUGUUAUCCAGAUAAGGAGACUGAGGUCUACCAUGGCAUAAAUCACCCAGUAAACUUAUAAGGAAGUAACAAUUUUGCACAUGCAGUUUUGCUCCCUUUGUCUGUCUCCUGUAUUAUUUCAGUUCUGUGAGUAAAAGAAAUUCCUGCUUCUGAAUUAAGAGGGUACCAAUAGACCAAAUAAUGACUGGGACAAGUCCAGCUUGGUAAAUGAUUUUAUUAAGGUUUAAUUAGAGAGCAUUGAACUUCUUACAGGCAGCUCUGCUACCAGCCUAUUUUCUACUUACAUAGCUUCCAUUUAUGUAGUUCUCCAAAUUACACAACAAAAAACAAAGGCAAGAAACAGAAUUCAUGCAAAGAAUUAUGUGUUUAUGUUUACUCUGUUUCCAUCUUUAUUGGAAAUUCCACUGUUCUCAGCAAAUACACUUAAGCACCAUUGAGGCAUGGCUCUGUUUCACUGUAAUCUGGCACACAGUCUCAGCACCUGUUAAGAAUCUCUAAAUGUUAGUGAAUUAAGUACACCAAGUACACUUUGGUAAUCAGGAAACAAAAUGGUGCUACCUUGGAAAGGACUUAGAGGACUAUUUUCCCUACAAUAUCCCACCCUUGAGCAGGGUGAGGCAGGGUAUGUACAAAUAAGGCCAGGCUGACAUAUAGGCAAGCAUGAUGGAGCAGUCAUUUUGUGAUUACUUGUUAUAUAAGCAUCAUUUGCAAUAGAGGAGGAAUUUUCCUGUUGCCUCUAGAGAAGUAAGGUCCUAUAAUUUGAGAAGGCCAUAUGGUUGGAAGCUCAUUGUACCUCCCAGAGUUCAAAGCAACCUCUGGAGAGAGUCAACAAUGAAACGAGGACAGCUGUCCUCCAACUUCAAGGAGGUGAAUUUCACAAGUAACGUAAAUGAGCCUGAAAAGGGGCACUGAGAACAACAAGAUUGAAAAACAUCUGGAUUUCAGCAUUGUGAGACCCCAGCAGUGGAUCCAGUUGACAUACACUCAAAUUGCUGACCCACAGAAACUGUGAGCUAAUACAUUUACAAGGUAUUCAGCAUGUUAUUUUGGGGUAGACUGUUAGGCAACACAAGAAAAUAGUACACAUGAUGAUGAAAGUCACACAGCUUAUGAGUGGUCAAGUAGAAAUGUACCCAGGAUAUCAUUUUCGCCAUUAUGAAAUGUUAAGCAGUAAAGAAAUCCAGGAAAACUGUCACCGACCUGUCAUACUUCAGCCCAGGUUAUUGGGUGGUACCAUUAUUAUUAGAGAAUUAUAAUUUUAUCCUCCAAUGACCAAGUUUAAAGGAAAAUUAUUGAUAAUUUGAAAUUUAACUGAGUACUAACAUAUGCUUAGUUCUCUAGCAAUCAUUUUCUAAAAAUAACAAGAAAAGUUUUCUAUUACUUUGAUUGUAUUAGGAAAUAUACGUACAUCUGAAUUAUAUCCUUUCAUAUUAGAGUUUCAUUUUGUAAAAAAUAUAAUUUUCUGGUUGAAGGAAUACAUACAAUUUAAAGAUACAAUAGAUCUUAUAUGCUUUAAAUAAAAUAUUUGUCUACUAAUACCUAAAUUUUCCAAAUAUUAAGUAUGCCAAAAGUUAUAAGUUCAAGAUGUGAUGUUUUUGUUAUUGUUUUUGGUGACAGUCCAUGUUUCCUAUGUUUUUUUGUCCCCAGAGUACAGCAAAAUUAUAACCAUUAAUAAUUUUAAAUUUCAGAAUGUUAUUGUAUUGAGUUCUGAUAUUAAGAAUAGAGAGACAAAUUGAAAUAUAUCAGGAAAGAAAUGAAGCAAAAGUGGUUAUUGAAUAAGGGAAAUUAUUGUGAAAUACCCCCAAAUAAAAAGAGGCACAAUAAUAGCUUCAUUUUUAUGCCUUAUCUAUCUUUCCAUUAUCAAAAAUACCUAGACAUACUUUUAAAAAUAUCACUGUUUGCUCAUCC